rnacentral:lncRNA from 1 species
GUCGGUUAACUCUACUGGAAAAUAAAAAUAUCUUUGAUAUUUAAGCAUAUUGAAACAUUCUAAAGAACUAAUACUAACAUUAUAUCAUAAGCUAACUAAUACGAGCUAAUACUAAUGAUUAUUAGUUUAUUCACUAACUAAUACAAAUAAGUAAAAUAAAAUCAAACAAUUCCAUCUUCCUUCAUCACAGAUCCAUCACAAAUUAAGUGGUCUAUUUUCCCCUCAGGGUGCUCAAAGAAGUCUGCCACAUCCAAGUG